AGCCUCGCGCGCAAAGAGGACGCGCGCGGGGUCGCGGCCGCCGCGAGGACGGGGAGAAGGAGAGACGUCGUCGCCAUUCGUGCGAGCGUCGGGGAUGUGAUCGACGCGAAUGUCAUGUCUCGCAGGGUUUGUUUUCGCAGAACUGAGGUGCGCUUUUUUUAACAAAAGUUUUUCACCCAUCCAUCGGUUUCAACAUUUGAUCGCGUUCCCUUUCAACUGACCGGUAAGUUGUUAUUUUUGUAUGGAAUGUAGUGAUUGAGGAACGAAUCGCGCGCUUCGCGCGGCGCCCCUCCGGCCGUCGUCGUCGUCGUCACGGCUUGCUGUAAAACCCUUUCGCCUCCGCGGCGUCUAGUAAAUUCCGCCGCUUCGCCGCUCUCGCCUUGGUCGCGUCAGACUCCGCGUUGUUCAC
rnacentral:lncRNA from 1 species